rnacentral:rRNA from 1 species
GGUUUUUAGAUUUUAUUAAAAAUCAAGCCUGCUCAAUGCUAAGUAAAUAGCCGCAGAAUUUUAACUGUGCAAAGGUAGCAUAAUCACUUGUCUUUUAAUUGAGGACUAGAAUGAAAGGUUUAACUAUGUAGUUUUGUCUUAUAGUAAUAUUUUGAACUUAAUUUUUUAGUAAAAAAGCUAAAAUUCAUCUUAAAGACGAGAAGACCCUAUUAAGCUUUACAAUUCAAUAUUAUUUUCAAACUAAUUAAAAAAUUGUUCUGCUGGGGCAGCAAAUAAAAAAAUAUUGUUUACAUAUUGUGAUAAAUAAAUCUAGAAAAAUCAAUAAUUUGUUAAAAAAUAAUAAGUUACUAUAGGGAUAACAGCAUAAUUUUUUUAAAGAGUUCUCAUCAACAAAAAAGUUUGUGACCUCGAUGUUGGAUUAAGAAUCCUAUUUUACGCAGUAGUAAAAAAAGGGAGUCUGUUCGACUUUUAAAUUCUUCCA